UGGGGAAUAUUGGGCAAUGGGGGAAACCCUGACCCAGCAACGCCGCGUGAGGGAAGAAGGUUUUCGGAUUGUAAACCUCUGUCCUUGGUGACGAAGGAAGUGACGGUAGCCAAGGAGGAAGCCCCGGCUAACUACGUGCCAGCAGCCGCGGUAAUACGUAGGGGGCGAGCGUUGUCCGGAAUGACUGGGCGUAAAGGGCGUGUAGGCGGCGGUAUAAGUCUGGAGUGAAAGUCCUUCUUUUAAGGAGGGAAUUGCUUUGGAGACUGUACAGCUUGAGUGCGGAAGAGGUAAGUGGAAUUCCCAGUGUAGCGGUGAAAUGCGUAGAGAUUGGGAGGAACACCAGUGGCGAAGGCGACUUACUGGGCCGUAACUGACGCUGAGGCGCGAAAGCGUGGGGAGCGAACAGG
rnacentral:rRNA from 1 species